AGAGUUUGAUCCUGGCUCAGGAUGAACGCUAGCGACAGGCCUAACACAUGCAAGUCGAGGGGCAGCACAUGAGUAGCAAUACUUUGGUGGCGACCGGCGCACGGGUGAGUAACACGUAUGCAACCUGCCUGUAAGAGGGGAAUAACCCGGAGAAAUUCGGACUAAUACCGCAUAAUACCACGAAGCUGCAUGGCUUUGUGGUUAAACAUUUAUGGCUUACAGAUGGGCAUGCGUAUGAUUAGCUAGUUGGUGAGGUAACGGCUCACCAAGGCAACGAUCAUUAGGGGUUCUGAGAGGAUUUUCCCCCACACUGGUACUGAGACACGGACCAGACUCCUACGGGAGGCAGCAGUAAGGAAUAUUGGGCAAUGGACGCAAGUCUGACCCAGCCAUGCCGCGUGCAGGAUGACAGCCCUACGGGUUGUAAACUGCUUUUGUACGGGAAAAAUUCCCUGGUCGUGAACCAGGGUUGAUGGUACCGUAAGAAUAAGCAUCGGCUAACUCCGUGCCAGCAGCCGCGGUAAUACGGAGGAUGCAAGCGUUAUCCGGAUUCAUUGGGUUUAAAGGGUGCGCAGGCGGAAUGAUAAGUCAGUGGUGAAAUCCUACAGCUCAACUGUAGAACUGCCAUUGAUACUGUUGUUCUUGAGUACAUUUGUAGUGGGCGGAAUGUGUCAUGUAGCGGUGAAAUGCUUAGAGAUGACACAGAACACCGAUCGCGAAGGCAGCUCACUAAACUGUAACUGACGCUCAGGCACGAAAGCGUGGGGAUCAAACAGGAUUAGAUACCCUGGUAGUCC
rnacentral:rRNA from 1 species